rnacentral:misc_RNA from 1 species
GUACACACCGCCCGUCACGUCACGAAAGUCGGCAACACCCGAAGCCGGUGGCCCAACCCUUGUGGAGGGAGCCGUCGAAGGUGGGGCUGGCGAUUGGGACGAAGUCGUAACAAGGUAGCCGUACCGGAAGGUGCGGCUGGAUCACCUCCUUUCUAAGGAGCACACACCCCGACCAUCAGGUAGCAGGCCACAAGGUUCAGUGAUGUCUGGUGGCGCAUGGUGGUGUCUCACUAGUGGAAUCGUCGACACCAGGUUUUUCUGCGAGCUUGCUCGUGGGGAGGCGUUGGUUCACCUGGGUCCCGCGUUGGUGGGAGCAGGGUCAAGCACACUGUUGGGUCCUGAAGAAUCAGCCGUUGACCUUCGGGUCGCUGUUGGUUGUUCUGGUUCCUCCUUCGCUUGCAUCUCCUCGUGUGGGGGUGUGGGGGUUGGUGGGGUUGUUGUUUGAGAUCUGCAUAGUGGACGCGAGCAUCUGGCGACGCCCGUAUGAGCCUCUCUCUUCCUUCUUGGUGGUGGAGGGGUUGGUGGGUGUUGUCUAGAGCAAUUCGUUUAAUGAGUUUGUAGUUAUUGAUGCGAUCGGCUUUUCCUGGCUGGUCGUGUCGUGCCAGCCGCACUCGUGAUUGUGGGUGUGGUUGGUUGUUGUUCUUUUGUGUUUGUGGUCAACGGUGGUUUCGACUGCGUGUGUUGCUGCUUUCCUUGUUUGUUGGGGGAGUGGUGGCGUGUGUUGUUGUGACGUUGUUGAGACAAGCUAUGAAGGGCGCACGGUGGAUGCC